rnacentral:misc_RNA from 1 species
GAUGAAGAACGCAGUGAAAUGCGAUAAGUAAUGUGAAUUGCAGAAUUCAGUGAAUCAUCGAAUCUUUGAACGCACAUUGCGCCCAUUAGCAUUCUAGUGGGCAUGCCUGUUCGAGCGUCAUUUCAACCCUUAAGCCCUGUUGCUUAGCGUUGGGAGCCUACAGUACUGUAGCUCCCCAAAGUUAGUGGCGGAGUCGGUUUCACACUCUAGACGUAGUAAUUUUUUCUCGUCUGUAGUUGAGCCGGUCCCCUGCCGUAAAACACCCAAUUUAUCAAGGUUGACCUCGGAUCAGGUAGGAAUACCCGCUGAACUUAAGCAUAUCAAUAAGCGGAGGA